rnacentral:sRNA from 1 species
GAGGCUGGUGGUACUUAUGCGAUUUGAGAAGCCAUCAAAACGUGAAAAAAGCUGGCAAACCCUAACCCACACAUUUACUUAUAUGAGUAGUUGCAAAUUUUAUAAUGCAAUUUGACAAAAAAUAUUGAAAUGAACAUGCUUAUACAUUUAUACUGUGUACUUAAUUGUAAAAAUGUUAUGACCCACUAGUCAUAUGUUAUGUCUAUGUAUUUUGCAACCUUGGAAUGAUUAGUUCAAAGAAAGCAAACAACGUAUUCUCGCAUCGCGCUAAGCAUCGUUACUUUGCAUUAUUAUCAAUUUGCUUAUCAUUUUGCUUAUUAAGUAUAGAACAAAUAAAAUUCUUAUGAAAUUUCUCGUAUUCUAAAAAAUGAAUUAAUUCCCGCUUUAAACAAGAUUUAACACCGUUUAAAGUUCCUAAAAACGGAACAUUGCAAUUGCGUUCUUUGAAGGAUAGUGAUGGUUUUCGGUAAAUAUUAUUCUUAUUGUGCACCCUACACAGAUUGACAAAUAAUAAAAAUAAUCAAGUACGAUAAUGAUGCUUCUGAUAAUUGGUGAUUCGACGAAGUUUACCAAUUGUCCAAAUUACCAGCGUCUGCUAAGCUUUUGCGCAUGAAAGAUGUGUUACGAAUAUUACAAGUGAAUACAAGAAAAAGAGUGUUUCUAAAGAAGAGUAGGGUUAAUGAAUAGUUGCAGUCUAUUAUCGUUUUGAACGCAGAGUUGUUUAGUAGAAAACAAAAAAAAAAAGUUUACAUAUUCGGUAAAAAAAUGUAUGGAUGCUAUGGGCACCAAUAGUA